rnacentral:rRNA from 1 species
AUGGCAGCCGCAGCCGCAGCCGCCGCCGACCAGGCUACGAAUUUGCUGCAGAAGCUAUCCCUUGAUGCCAAGACUGAAGCCAUCGACGCCCCGGCGGCGAAGGAGAAGGCGUCCGGAGGGCUGGGCGGCAAGCUGAAUGGUGUGGCGGCCACACGGAACCCACGGGCGUCCGAGCAGUGGGCAAAUCCACAGGAUUACAGCGAUGCAAGCAUGUAUUAUGGCGCCUACCCUGCUGCUUACUAUUGCGCAGGUUGGGGUGAUUAUUCCAUGUACUUGAAUCAGGAUGGAGUGGAAACACCUACCGCUGGUGCCUAUGGUGACAUGUACUGCUAUCCUCAAUAUGGGCAUGAUGGUCAGAUGUAUGGGUCACAGCAAUAUCAGUACCCAUCAUCAUACCACCAGCCCCAGAAUACUGCCACCAGUGCUCCCAAAGCCACUGCAAACAGUGUUGAUGAGGUAAAAGGUCUGAAGAAGACAUCCACACCACUGAACCCAAGUGGGAACAAUGGUAGUUACCUGAACCAAAGUAGCAGACCAGCUUAUCCAUGGUACGGUGGCCAAAUCUACCAGGGAAAACAGCAGAAGCCUUCUAGUGGCAAUCCUACUUCAACUGAUUCAAAUCCUAAAAGCAAGGUUCAGUCGAAGAAUCAGAAUACUCAACCUCUUCCUCCUCUGAUGAGUUUACCUAACUCACCGGUGGCUUCAAUGUAUGCUACUAAUGGAAUGUACAACAGCAAUGCCUAUGGUGGCUUUUGGUAUGGAUCCCAGUUUUAUGGGCCAGGAAUGUAUGGUGGGUGGAAUAAUCUGUCGGAUGGAAAAUACAAGCCCCGAGGGAGGACAGCGUAUGGAUCGUAUGGAUUUCCCAAUGAAAACUUGGAUGGUUUGAAUGAGUUGAAGAGAGGACCACGGAGUGGACUCUAUAAUAACCAACAGGGCUUUGGACCUGCUGCUGUGACAGCUGUCAAAGCACAGGAUGUUUCUGCUACUGAUGGCUCUAAUGCAGUUGUGCAGGAUCAGUACAACGGGUCUGACUUAGCUGACACUUAUGAAAAUGCCAAAUGCUUUAUUAUUAAGUCGUACAGCGAGGAUGAUGUUCACAAGAGCAUCAAGUACAAUGUUUGGGCUAGCACACCUAAUGGAAAUAAAAAGCUUGACAGUGCUUAUCUGGAAGCUAAAUCUGUCAAUUCUCCUGUAUUCCUUCUCUUCUCUGUUAACACCAGUGGGCAGUUUGUUGGUCUCGCCGAGAUGGUUGGCCAGGUUGAUUUUGACAAGACGGUGGAACACUGGCAGCAAGACAAGUGGACUGGUUGCUUCCCUGUCAAGUGGCACAUUGUCAAGGAUAUUCCCAACAACUUGUUAAAGCAUAUCAUUCUCGAGUAUAAUGAAAACAAACCAGUGACAAACAGCAGAGAUACACAGGAGGUCAAGCUCGAGCAAGGCCUUCAGGUGUUGAAGAUUUUCAAGGAUCAUGUCUCCAAAACAUCCAUCCUGGAUGACUUCAGCUUUUAUGAUAACCGUGAGAAGAUAAUGCAAGAGAGGAAAUCACAGCGGCAGCAACAACUGAAGAAGAUCACGAGUCCGAAGCUGCUGCCUACUGUUGACAACACUGAAAAUGAUUCCGGCAAUGCGCAGGAAUCGCAGAAGCCUGAAGUUACCGGAGAGAACAAAUCUGUGGUGGAAGACAAUGUGGAGGCGGCUGCCGUGAGUGGCGUUGCCCCGAAAGAUGCUAACCCCACAGCCGCAAGCUUGGCUGUCGCGAAUGGCUGCUGA